UACGUAUGUCCCGAGCGUUAUCCGGAUUUAUUGGGCGUAAAGCGAGCGCAGACGGUUUAUUAAGUCUGAUGUGAAAGCCCGGAGCUCAACUCCGGAAUGGCAUUGGAAACUGGUUAACUUGAGUGCAGUAGAGGUAAGUGGAACUCCAUGUGUAGCGGUGGAAUGCGUAGAUAUAUGGAAGAACACCAGUGGCGAAGGCGGCUUACUGGACUGCAACUGACGUUGAGGCUCGAAAGUGUGGGUAGCAAACAGGAUUAGAUACCCUGGUAGUCCACACCGUAAACGAUGAACACUAGGUGUUAGGAGGUUUCCGCCUCUUAGUGCCGAAGCUAACGCAUUAAGUGUUCCGCCUGGGGAGUACGACCGCAAGGUUGAA
rnacentral:rRNA from 1 species